GGAUUGCCAUCUCACUUGAUCUUCCUCACAACUCCCAAUUCCAACAACCAAACUCCGACGUCACGUUUUGUUCACACCAUUACACCACAUCUGAGCGACAAUGAGGUUUCCUCUAGCGCUACUGCUAACACUGGCCUUCCUUGUACUUGCAUCAGAUGCGGAUAUAACAAAACAUUGUAUGGAUCUAACUGUGGGGAUAUCAGAUGUGUGUACACCCGCUAUGUGUGAGUAGCUCUGCCACCGAAGGUACAUGGACCGCUGCGACGGACAUCAAAUCGAGUGUGAUCAUAAGGGCUAUUGUUUUGGAACGCAGUGCAGAUGCUUUUUGUGCAUACAUAUGACUCCCGGCCCGUCCUCUCCCCAACUGCCACAAUGGUAAACCGUGGUACCGACGAGCUAAGUCAAGAUUAGUUCAUGUUGACAAAAAUAAUAAAAGUAAUGCAAUGGUGUAGCGGCAAGACUUCCGUAGGAAAUGGUGGCUCAUAUAUAUUAUAAUGUCCCUCGAAUUAUAAAAA